AAUAAAAAGAGUUAUGUAAAACAAACUACGGUGUUUAUCGUAGUUAAUAACUUAAGUUACAUGUUAACUUAAGUUCUAUAAACUUACAUAUGGGGCCGUGCGUUUGUAAAGUAAGUUACACCUAAAAUUUNUUAGGUGUGCUCUAUUAUAUGUAGUAAUACUCCUGCGAUACUAAAAGCAACGCUUUUUGUUUUUAUGCGUUUAUAAAAAUAAAAAUAAAAAUUUGGAAUGUUAUUAAAUUAUACAAAAAAUUUUUUUACAUACUAUUAUUAUUUAUUAGAUAUUAUUAUAACAUAUUUAUAAUUAGAAAAAAAAUAUAGUAGACUCCCCCAAGCAAGUAGCUUUAGGAUAGUUCACUAACCUUGUAGAACUACGUUGAGCCACAACGACGUAGUUUGUAUCUUCGGCCGGUGGCUGGCCUUUUUUACAUAACUACGAACUACAAGCAUAGUAAUGCGUGCGUUUGAACUGCCACACAGAGUUAAACGGCGAGUUUGUUUCGCCCGAGUUGUAGAAGUUUCCUACUAAAACGUAGUUAGACAAACAUACUAGAGUUACUUAGGGCUCAAGCGUCUAGCUACGUGUAUAGUGACGCGUAUUCUUAAAACAUUAUCCGGCGUAGGCCGGCAGCUAGGCUUAGAAGCCCAGCUAAUUAAGUAAAUAGUUUAACUACGGCCAAACGUAGUAUGUAGCCUGAUAAUCUUUAGAUUUAGUAGCUCAACGUAGUUCAGAACACAAUGUGCCGAAAACGUCAUCACAACUAGGAGCGUGGCACUGUAGGCUGCGCCUAUGAAGUACUUUGUAAGUAACUACGUUUUUUUGAGCCGGAGGCCUACCACGUUAGGGCCUUGUGAUGAUGCAAGGCCUAGGUUU
rnacentral:lncRNA from 1 species